UUUGUGCUGAGGUGAAGGGAUCGGAGCCCAGGCUGCAGCGGGCGGCUGCAGUGUUUCCUGCAAAAGCCCACUGAGAGCUCACGCUGUGACACAGCUGGAAAAACAUGUUCCCAGCCUGCACGCAGAAGCAAAGAGACAAUGGUGGCCCCGGAUGCCUACCAGUAGUUACGCUGUAACAGUGUCAAAGGUUAAGGCAGAUUUUCUGCAGAUCAUGUAAAGAACUGUACUACAGUUACUAGAGGGUGACAGUAAGUAAUUCAGUAGGAGAAAAAAACCACCUGCUCCAUCUGUCAACUGAGGACUGCAUACAAAGAAGCCUGAGAAAACUUCCCAACAAGAAAAUACAGAAUUAAACAAUGGACCAAAAAAGCAGUAAGGAUGGGAGACAUCCAAUACAAAACAGACACACACACCCCCUCUCUCACAUGUAGGCCCCUGAAAGUGGGAUCACAGUGAUAAAAGUUAGAGAUCAUAGAGCGGUGUGAAAGACAUCUGUCAUAUCAGGGGACUCUCCUCUUCAGACCCAGAGUCAAAUGGAAUUAUGAAGACCAGAUACUUUCUUGCAGCUUCCUGCACAUCUUACUAAAUAACAUGCAAAGAGUUCAACAGCAUUCUUCUUAAAAUGUAAAUAGUACUCUUUAAAUGGGCAUGUUAACCACUGAAAGAAGUCCACUCUACUAUACUCCUCCAUUACACUGCUUUCAUUCAGUCAUCGGUAGUAUAAAAAGUCAAUUAACGGGAUUAACAGGCUAGUUUAUCCACUGGCAAUUGCGUAUGACACCAAGUGUGCAGUAAAACAAAGGCCAACAUAUGUUUACGCAAUAUAGUUGUACUGAUUUGGGUUUUCUUUAUCUCUUUCCAUGUAGUCUCUGUCAAUUAAGGAUUCUAUUCUCUUCUUAAGGUCAGCAGGCUGUAAAUUAAAGCAGAUGUCAGCAUUAUUAUUUUGUAGUCGACGCUUCUCAAUCCUACCUAAGCCAAAUAUCCAUACUGCUUGAGAUGACUGAUGAACCAUAUUAUAACUUACAUCUCUCAACACAUCAAAGCUUCUUAAACUUGCAGUGUGCAAUUAAAGAGAAAGUUACAAGAUUAGACAGAAUGCACCAUAUAUCUGAGCUCAGAUGUUAUCACAGAAUCACAGAAUCUAUGUUAUCUAAGCUAUGUCACUGUCUUUUGGAAAAUCAGUUUGCACUUGUACACAGUAAGCUAUUCUUUCUCAUAUUGCAUCUGUUACUACUAACAAACUCCCAG
rnacentral:lncRNA from 1 species